GACGUAGGGCGCGAGCGUUGUCCGGAUUUAUUGGGCGUAAAGAGCUCGUAGGCGGCUUGUCGCGUCGUCCGUGAAAACCUGCAGCUCAACUGCAGGCUUGCGGGCGAUACGGGCAGGGCUAGAGUUCGGUGAGGGGAGACUGGAAUUCCUGGUGUGAGCGGUGAAAUGCGCAGAUAUCAGGAGGAACACCGGUGGCGAAGGCGGGUCUCUGGGCCGAUACUGACGUGAGACGCGAAAGCGUGGGGAGCAAACGGGAUUAAGAUA
rnacentral:rRNA from 1 species